rnacentral:rRNA from 1 species
GACCGCCGGACAGUUCGUGAGGUUUUGGCCCUCUCAAAAGCCAAUAACCCCAAGAUAGUCUUUCUCCAUGAGACUAGACAAGAUGCAACUAAAGUGGAGAAGUUGAAGUGGAGAUUGGGCCUAAAAUGCUUUCACGGUGUUAGUAGCGAUGGACGAAGUGGCGGUCUUGCACUGUUCUGGGAGGAGACGCUUACAGUGACAGUGCUCGAAUCAUGUAACAGAUUCAUUGAUGUUCGAGUUCUUGAUGGUGGUUCCGGUAUUUCAUGGAGAGGAACCUUUGUUUAUGGCGAACCGCGUGUGGAAAAUCAUCAGCGCAUGUGGGAUCAUCUAUGUCGUCUGCGGGCAGUCUCGCAAGAACCUUGGGUCAUGUGUGCUACCUCUUGA